UACAGAGGUCCCAAGCGUUGUUCGGAUUCAUUGGGCGUAAAGGGUGCGUAGGCGGCGCGGUAAGUCGGGUGUGAAAUCUCGGGGCUUAACUCCGAAACUGCAUUCGAUACUGCCGUGCUUGAGGACUGGAGAGGAGACUGGAAUUUACGGUGUAGCGGUGAAAUGCGUAGAGAUCAGCUGGAAUACCCGUGGCGAAGGCGGCCCCCUGGGCCGAACCUGACGCUGAGGCGCGAAGGCUAGGGGAGCGAACGGG
rnacentral:rRNA from 1 species